rnacentral:ncRNA from 2 species
CACUCAUCGAGACCAGCCGAGGGAAAGGCCCGACGACGCUGGGGCAACCGCUGCACAUGCAGUAUGGUGCCAACUCCUACAGGGCUGCCCAAGCAGUUCGCAUCUCUUCGAUGCGAGUUGCGGAAAGCAUAAAAGCCCUGACAGAUGAGAG